CCUUUGUACACACCGCCCGUCGCUACUACCGAUUGAAUGGCUUAGUGAGGUCUCCGGAUUGGCUCGAAGAGGUUGGCAACGACCACUUCGAGCCGGAAAGUUCGUCAAACUCGGUCAUUUAGAGG
rnacentral:rRNA from 1 species